ACGUUUUCAGCUGAACUCUCAAAGAUUAGAUUUGAGGGCGGUUAUCGACCACAGAAGAGUAGUAACGAUACGUCUGCGUCAUCUCUGUGCUUCUUUGUCUACACUUUUGGAAAAAGUGAUGACGCCAUCGCCCUUUCCCAAAUGUAGACAAAGCAAUACCGUGAUGACGUUAUAGAGAUUUUGUGAUGUUACGAAUGUUUUUGUAUGUUCAUCAGAUGAUCGAUCUUACUCUUUACGAGAUCUUCUUAAGUCAUAGAUGCGUGUGAUGAUGGAUCUAGAGUUCAAGAGUAGUUUUUUUUUUUGUUUUUUUUUUGUUUAUUGGUGAAUUUUGUUGUUCAGAUACGUUUCAAAGAGAAAAUAUAACCAAAAAGAUUUUAGACAA